CACGAGCGGUGGAGGUGUGGACUGGAAGUGGAAGGUAACAUAGUAGUGGAAUCGGAAACUUGGAAGACACGAUGUUUAACCUUCCCGAAAGACACUCUUCAUCAUUAUCAUAGGACAGGACGUGCAUGGCUGAUUAGCGGAAGGAAGGCUGUGGGUUCGUCACGAGUAGAAGAACGUUUAGCAUCCGUCCAUCCCUCCUUUCUGCCUGGGAGCUGGAUAUGUCCCUGGACCGUGGGCGCGUGUCCGGAAAUGUUGUUUGGACAGUGAGUCUUGUCAAGCAGCGAGGAAACUUGACUCAGCGUGUACGAUCGAGGACAAGCACAUAGAGUACCUACAUUUCAAACCGU